AAGAGCCAUUUUACAUUUUCGUGCGAAUUUCUAAGAUUUUGGAAGCAUGAAUUACUAUCUUAAGCAACACCCAGAGAUUAUUUAAUAACUGCGAAAGAUAGGUCAAUCCUUGUUGUUGACCAUUAAUGAAACGGAUUUACUAAAACUCUUUUGCUUAAUUCACAGUGCCCCAUCUCCCACAACCAUUUUACGAAAAAAUUGCCGCAGACUCAUUUUCAAAGUCCUGUAUCUAUUAUUUAUGCUCAUAUAAUAAGCUUAAAAAUAUAUAGUAAUCAUCGGACAUAUAUUCUUGUAGUCCAUUAAUGAAAUAGAUUCUUGAAUUUCAUUACCAUUAUUGAGUAAAAUCUAAAAAUAAUUUGGCAAAUUUGAAGAUUAACGUCACAUUUUGAUCGUGGUUUUUGGUUUAAAAACACAGCAAUAACUGCAAUAAAAGUAUCCCAAAAUAAAGAAUAUUCAUUGUAGAAUUAAUUUCAACAGUUAUUGUUUAAAUAUUAGUAACCACUUUGUCAAAAUAUUGAUGUGAAUAUCAGUAUAAAUUACAAUGCGCAAGCCGACAUCGAUUAGUAUGGCGCGAGCGCCCGUCAAGGCAGGACCUGUGUCAUUUUUCCCGCCGUGACGUUUACGUGCGUUCGUGUCGCAAAGCGGUGAUUUGUACGGCGACCAAAUACAUUUGAUACUAUGCCGAGAGGCUGUUUCGAGUCGGCCGGCCGAGCAGAAAUUGAAAUGAUGAAUUUUAAUUUCUUUGACGGAUUGGGUGUAACUAUGUAUAAUAUGGUAGGUACCAUGGUAUUUAAUUUAAUAAAUAAAUUAUAAAAAAGUAUAUCCAUUAUGAUAGCACCCUUAACACAAGCAUAUUGGUUGCCUACUUUUGGACUAGAUGGCGCUGUGAAAUUGUCCAAAGAUUUGUUUAUUUAUUUAUCCGCUUUGAGUUUUGUUUCGUGAAGAAGAAAAAGAAGCGUUUUGUUGUUAAAUCUAUAACUAAUAAAAGAGGAAAGAUUUAAUUGUUUGUGUGUUUGUUUGGAGGCAAUAGGCUCCGAAAAAAAUUUCUUUCACGAUUUAGAAUCCUAAUUUUUUUCUAUGUAGGCUAUAAAAUAUUUUCAAAAACUUUAGUCCAAAAUCUUUGAUAAAAUUCGACGUUUAAUAAAUAAAUUAGAUAACAUAUUAAUACUUUUUUUUUCAGUACGAUUUUAGUACUUGUUUUUCAGAAAUUCUACGAUUUAACUAAACUUCUAGUGUUUAUAUUUUAUGCAUAAUUUAUUAACUUCUAAAAUAUACAUAUAUCCUAUUGAUAGAUGACGUGCUUCGUAUUUUAUUAAAAUUAUUACCUGACUAGGUUAAAAAGGUGUGGAAUGUUAUUUGAUGAUAACUUGGUUCCAUAGAAAUAUAGAGAGAUGCUAAGUAAUGCGCUCAGUUCGAAACUCAGUGUCGUAUUAGAAAUUCACACACACAAAGAAAUCAAAUAAUGUGCUCAUUAUCCAUUGCGGUAUCAGUAUUCAACGUUCGAAUAAUCUUUAGUACUAUGCAAGCAAUAUAAACUGUUUACACAAUGACGUCGCUACUGUCAUCAUUGCUUUCACAAGCAAUAUGUUUCAAUUUGUCCCUUGUCACAUUUCCCUUUAGUUUCUGUGAUCUGUGCUUGUUUCUAAGUUGAUAUCAAUGAAAUAUUCCUUAGUACUUUUGAUUUAAAUUAUUUAUUUUAUUUUGACACGUGUUUGAAAAAUCAAGGUCAGAUUACAAUAAAAUAACAAGUGAAAACGUAACAUUGCAUUGCAACUCGCAAUUUCGCAAUAUUGAUGAGGAGAUUCCAUUGGAAAGUCUGUAUUCAUUCCUAGGAUUCCCCUAACACCAUCAAAUUCAAGAGAAUUCAAGAGAGUGCAGUUUCCCAUCUCAUGCUUAGGGACCACGGUUUAAAAUAGUGUGGUUGCAUAGAGCCUGCAACGGGCAACCGCGUGCGCAGCUACUCAUAUUAAUUUUCGAUACAAAAGCAAGUGUUGGCGCCCUCACGAGUUUUAGCGGAGUUCCAUAUGGUAGCGGGAGUAGACUUAAUGGAAAUCUAUGCUUCUCCGACGACCAGUUGUAUGUGGAAUACUCCAGAGUAUGCGCACACAAUAGCCUGGUGAUUUUAGCACCUGAAGGAAAAACAAAAAAACAUUGUUUACAAAGAAAUCUGCGGCAGCUCUGUCUGAUAAUGGAUCUGGAGGAGAUGCAAUGGCCACCUCCGUAACAAAACAAUAGAACCCUAUGGAGUUUGGGCUUGUGUGAUUCGCCUUGACGAAUAUUUCGUAUCCAGGGUCCGAUGAUGGAGCUGUAAGGGGGCAGAUUUUUUUUUUCACUAUGUGACUGUCUUUAUUUUGUACUUAAUAUAUUUUACAUAUUAUACC